rnacentral:lncRNA from 1 species
UUUUCAGCUUCGGAGUUGUAGCAUUGGAAAUAGCAUGUGGUCGAAAACCUAUUGACCUCAUGGUGGUAGAAAAUGAGAGAGAAUUGGUAAAGUGGGUUUGGGACCUCUAUGGAAUGGAACAAAUUCUUGAAGCAGCUGACCCAAGACUCUCAGGGGCUUACGACGAGCAUCAAAUGCAACGGUUGAUGAUUGUCGGGCUUUGGUGUGCACAUCCAGAUAGUACCACUAGGCCUUCCAUCAGGCAAGCAAUUCAUGUUCUUAAUUUUGAUGCUCCAUUGCCUUCACUCCCACGCAGGAUGCCUGUGGCAACCUAUUCCACGCCUUUAAACUUUUCUUCGGUGUCUUCAGAAAGCAAGGCCACUACCCAGACAAGCCAAACUCAUUCUUCAGCCUAUAGUAACGGUACUGAUUCUUCAGUGUCUGCAUCUGCAGCACUUCUAAACAAUACUAUAUAAGUGUGAUAAUUAACAUGUAAAAUAAAAAAAAAAUAUUUCCAAUUUAUAUAUGAGUAAAUAAGAGUGAUUAUGUUUACAGCAUUCACUUCUGAUUUGAUUCAUUCUGUAAUUGCUUGACAUAUUCGAAUUUUCAAUCUUCUUCACUAAUUGUCUUUCAUAGUUAUCACAUCAGUUAACAUUUCUAAUUUGGGCACUUGGCUUCAAUUAGUAGUGGUCCUGCUCAGUGCUUCUAAAUUCAAAUGCUGAUUAAUUCUCUGAAAGUAGUUCAACUAGAGGUUUAUAGUAAACUCUGUGGAUUACUUUAAUCUGUACCAUACUAAUAUUCCUUCCGCCGGCAAGAUAUUGGGAUAAAUUUUAUUGCACAAGUCACUGUCUACAGUCUUUAAGCAUUACCUGUCUGCAAUGAUCAAGACAAGUCUAUAUCGUCAACUAUCUUUUUUCAAUAAAUUUCAAAGUAUGUCCGAUAUGAGCUGAAUGAUUCAACUAAGAUUUUGUUUGAAACAUAACCCCAAGACCAAUUUGAAAGAUAUGAAACUGACUUGCAACAGCAGAGCCUGAAGCACCAAGGAAGAACUGAAGUAUAGCUUGUUACUAACAUCCAUAAGGCCAACUGCUGAUGCUCAAGGGUGAGUGUGAGGGUGGUUUGUGCCAGCAGAAAGCCAGCAUUUGGAACACUGACCAGUGAUUAAAAUAUUUCCGACUCCAAAUUUUCUGGUAAUUAUCAAAUUGUUUCUUUUGUUCAAGUUCAAAAAUCUAAUUAAAUUUAAAUACAAAAAGAGAAUAUAAAUAUACAGUAAUAAUUCUAAAGUUUAGAUUUUUAACUUGAGGAAAGUGUCCAAAUAUUUUAGGAAGCUACUGAGUACAUAAUAUAAUAUAAAUUAAUAUAUAAAAAUAAAUUCUUCAAAUUACGGUCUCCUAACAUUUUGAUUACAAAAAAACCUCCACAUACUUAGAAGCAUCAUGCCCUUUUAACUUAUACUCCUUAGAAAGUAGUUUGAACACGACAAAGAGAAAAUUAAAAAAUAAAAGUAGUUUGAAAAUUCACUUAAUGCACAAUUCAAUAAGCUAUAUAAAGUUAAAAGUAAAUUACCAAGAAAAAUAAUUUCCUCCUUAAAAUUAUUAUUAUAAAAGUUAAGGUUUCUAGUACAUGGGCCUAUUUGACGUAUUGAAUGGUUAAUAAAGUUUGAAAGACUUGGAUAACUGGAAGAUAAAUUUGCAUCCAAAUUUCACAAGAUGAAUUCAAGCAUGGUUUGCAGCCAUCUCAUGCCAGGAAGCUCUGCUAUCUCCUCUAUUGUCAUUAGAUCUCUGAUAUUUCUAAGUACGAUUCAGAUGGCAGCAACCUUACAUUUUAAGUUUACCAACUUCAACCAUACCAAUGAUGAUCAAAUAAAAUACGAGAGAGAUGCCUUUCCGGCCAACAAUGUCAUCCACCUCACUAAUGCGGUGAUUGGUCAAUCAGCUGAGUCAAGUAUCGGCCGAGUUACUUAUAGACAGCCUUUGCAUCUAUGGGACAAGGCCUCAAGAAACCUUACUGGCUUCACUACCCGUUUCACUUUUGUGAUUGAUUCCAGAAAUGAUACAGCGUAUGGCGAUGGGAUGGCGUUCUUUCUAGUUCCAAAUGGUACCGAGGUCCCGGCACUUGCAACAUCUGGGGGAACAUUUGGACUCACAAAUGAUAGUCAGCCUACCAACACCACCGCCAAUAAAUUUGUCGCUGUUGAAUUUGACGUGUUUGAGAACUCUUGGGACCCUGACAUUGACGAGCCGGAGGACCCUCUUUUUGGCCGUUCUCCUGAUGUGAAAAUUGAGCAUGUAGGUGUUGAUAUCAACUCUGUGAGAUCCAACAAAACUGUGCUUUGGGAUUAUGGGAGGUCUAGUGUUGAGAAUGGAUGGACCAAUGAAGCUCAGAUAAGUUAUGCUUCUAGUUCAAAAAAUCUUAGUGUUUCAUUCCGUACAAAUAUAACUGGCAAUUUCUACUUUGUGGUUGAUCUACGAGACCAUUUGCCAGAUUGGGUCAGUGUUGGCUUUUCAGCUUCAACAGGAGCCGCAAUUUCUUACAAUACAAUCAAUUCAUGGGAAUUCAGUUCUACUCUGGAGUCCCAUGCAGAAGCUCCGAGUCCAAGUCAUCGUGGUCCAGUACCACAGGUUCCAAAACAUAUUAAAACAAAUAAUAAAAGGAUGGGUCUAGUGAUUGGAUUGGCGGUAGGGGGGUUUGUUCUUGUUUGUGCUGCGGGUAUAUACAUUAUAUUGAAGAAGAAGAAGAAAGAAAGAGCAGAAAAUGAAAAUACCAAUUGUUUUGAGGAUGAUUUCAUGGAUGAUGACUUUGAGAAAGGAACUGGACCUAAAAAGUUCUCGUAUAAUGCUCUUGCUAUGGCAACAAGCAACUUUGCACCACAUGGAAAACUUGGAGAAGGAGGAUUUGGGGAAGUUUACAAAGGCUACUUGAGUGAACUGAAUUUGGAUGUGGCUGUCAAGAGAGUAUCAAGAAAUUCUAGACAAGGAAUAAAGGAGUAUGCAUCCGAAGUGAGGAUCAUUAGUCGUCUCAGACAUAAAAAUUUGGUGCAGCUCAUUGGUUGGUGCCAUGAACGGAAUAAUCUUUUACUUGUCUAUGAGUAUAUGCAAAAUGGUAGCCUGGAUUCCCAUCUUUUCAAGGGGAAGAGCUUGCUGUCUUGGAGUACAAGGUAUAAAAUGCGUCAGUAUUGCUUUAUCUACACGAAGAAUGGGAGCAAUGUGUGGUGCAUAGAGACAUUAAAUCAAGCAAUGUCAUGUUAGAUUCAAGUUUCAACACUAAGCUAGGUGAUUUCGGACUGGCCAGAUUUGUUGAUCAUGAAAGGGGUGCACAAACAACUAUGGUGGCCGGGACACGAGGCUACAUGGCCCCCGAAUGUUUUUUCACAGGCCAAGCUAGCAGGAUGUCGGAUGUUUUCAGCUUCGGAGUUGUAGCAUUAGAAAUAGCAUGUGGUCGAAAACCUAUUGACCUCAAGCUAGAAGAAAGUCGGGUAGAAUUAGUAAAGUGGGUUUGGGAGCUUCAUGGAAGGGAACAAAUUCUUGAAGCAGCAGACCCAAAACUCUCCGGGGAUUACGACGAGAGUCAAAGGAAACGGUUGAUGAUGGUCGGGCUCUGGUGUGCCCAUCCAGAUUGGCCAAUUAGGCCUUCCAUUAAGGAGGCGAUUCAAGUUCUUAAUUUUGAUGCUCCAUUGCCUGUUCUCCCGCCCCAGAUGCCAGUGGCAACCUAUUCCAUACCAUCAAAUUUGUCUUUAGAAGACAAGGCCACAACCCAGAGAAGCCAAACUCAUUCUUCAGGCUCUAGUAACGGAACUGAUUCAUCAGUGUCCGCAACUGCAGCACGUCUAAAUAAUACUAGAUAACCAUGUUGUUUAAUAUGCAGCUGAAUACAUUUUUUUGAAGAUAAGCGUGUCGGUUGAUAUGCAACUCAAUAUUUAUUAUGUGUGAUUUUAUAAUUUGAUUCAGUUUGAUUGUAAUUCUGAGGAUUAACAUGUCGGUUGAUAUGCAACUCAAUACUUACUAUGUGUGAUUUUGUAAUUUGAUUUUAGUUUCAUUGUAACUCAUUCAGUGAUUUGCAAAGUCAUGGUCUACGGUCAUUAGCAUUACCUCUCGGCAAUGAUCAAUAGAAGUCUACGUCGACUAUCCUUUUUUAUAAAUUUCAAAUAAUGUUCGAUAUGAGCUAUCAAACGUUAGUUUUAGUCAUAAAAGAGUGUAUCAUGAAUUACAAGUAAACAAUCAUUUACUUUUAGAUCUAGAACCAUAAAGUAGGAGCGUUUGGCAAAUAAAAUUAAGUCCUUAUUAAAGAUUUGUUUCUUUUAAAAUGCUUAUUUUAUAAAUUUUUUAAAUAUAAAUAUUAGGUAGGUGUUGCAUAUUCAUUAUGCGACAAAAAAAAAGGACUAAUUUCAGGAAAAAAAUUAAGCUAUUAUUUCAGAAAAAUGAGUGUAGUCAAAGGAGAACACGGUAACCCACUCUUUUUCUUUUCCAUUUUCUGUUUUGUUUUACCCACGGCUGUAAAUUGAUUAUGGUGAAACUGGAUUAAAAAUACAAUCCGAGUUCGAAUCGAAUAUGAACAAUCGAUCAUAUUUUGGGUAUUUGGGUAGGAUAAUAUUAGAAAAAAUUAUAUGUGAUCUAAUUUGAUCAGCAGUAUAAGAUUGCUCAUAUCCGGCAUCAUAUAUUAUCCAGGCUUAAUUUUUCCAACAGAUUUCGAUCGUUUUCAAAACGGAUAUGAGACAUGUAUCAUAUUUUCGAGCCGGAUAGCCGAGAUACCGAAUAGUCUGUAUCGACUAACAUCGCUAGUUUUAUCCUGUUAACGUUCUUUUUUUACUGAACACAAUUUUACAAAAUAUAAUAAUUUUAAAUUAAAACUUACAAUUAUAUGUAGGUAUAUAUAAUUAAGUAAAUAUAUAUAUGAAGAUAAUAAGUAUUAUCACAGUAAAUAAAUCAUAUUUUGUGAGAUUUACACUUAAAUAAGAUAUUAAAAUUUUAUAAAAUGAUGAAUAUUACUUACAUAUGUAAUAAAUUAAAAAUAUAAUUUGCAUAUUAGUUCCAAUCGAAUAUGAACCAUCGAUCAUAUUCGGAUAUUUGGGUAGGAUCAUAUUAGAAAAAAUUUUAUGUGCCCAGGAUUGCUCAUAUUCGGGAUCAUAUAUCAUUUAAUUAUAUUAUUAUAGACUUGUUAAAUAAGAUAUAUAAAUUUAUGUAAAUAAUUUUUGCAGCCUAAACAUAUGUAUAACUUAUAAUUAAAAAAUAUUAAAUUUGUUACAUUAUUAUCAAAUUUUGUUACUGGCAAGAAACCUCCAGGAAGUGUGGUGUGUAGGUACUUCUUUGUGUUUCAUUACUUUAUCAAAUGGGCAAGUCAGAAUAAUCAGAAAAAGUUUAAUCCGCAGGACCACUGCUUCCACUAUAAAUUUAUAAUCAUUAUAGUUGUUUUCUCAAUUCUCAUUGAAGAAUGAUGUUGCCGAUCUAGACUUGUCAGCUCUGCUUAUUCUUCCAAUUUUAUGAACAUAAUCAUCGAGGUCUUUUGGCAAAUUAAAGUUGAUGACACAGGUGACAUAGGCAACAUCCAGACCUUUUAGCUUCGGAGUUGUAGCAUUGGAAAUAUAUUAACUCCGAAUACAGGGGGUGUUUGGCCAGGUUUAAAAGCCCGACUUCUCGGUUUAUAAGUUAGAAACACGUAUUUUUACUGUUUGUGUAAAAAGUAAAGAAGUAUUUAUAAAAAGGAGAGAAUACUAGUCUUUGUUCAUAGUUUUUGCGUCUUUCCCAAAUACUUUAAGCUUCUAAUUUUUAAUUCACUUCUUUAUUCUAAGCAAGAAGCGCUUAUUUUAAGCUCAAUCAAACAGCGUCAUAGUAUUUGUAAUUUGAUCCGUGUGUGAUUGUAAUUUAUUCAGUGAUGGCUUAACAUUUCCCGGUUUGCAAUUUUUCUCUAUUCAAAAUUCAAUAUCUACAAUUUUGUAUCUGAUCAGUUGAAGCUGUCAAUCGUUAGUUUAGGAUACAUAUUCAUCCUUACUAUGCCUCCUCAAGAACGACGUUGUUUUAACAAUGACCAUCCUGGAAAACAGAGAUUGAAAAGCAGCUCUUGGAAGUAGUUUUGUGAGGGAAUCAGUAACUUAUUCAGAAGUCUGUUUUUGCUAGAAUUUUCAUAAAUUAUGCAGAACUGUGUUGUACCGCUUUUUGUUUCUUUUUUCUAGGAAUUGCAAUUGGAAUUUGGAGUGCUUAGGUUCUGGUCGUUUAGAUCACUACUGACAUGUCACUGGAAAUUACUCAGGGGACAUUUAGAGAAUCAGGUAGACGAGAAUGUGAAAGAUAUGAUAUUCUAAGAUGUGAAAUGAAUGAAUUAUCCACCUCUAAUGUUAUAUAACACAAAUACUAAUCCAAACAAAUGCUCAGGGAUGUGAAAUGAAUGAAUUAUCCUUUGAUUUUGACGUUUCCAUGGUGGUGGUGUGUCAGGGUUAAUACCUUGGCAUACACCGGCUCUGAUACCAGGUGUGGAAACUAUUGAUUGUGUAUCAACUGCGUAAGUUUAGGAGAAAAAGAAAAAACUGAAGAGACAAACCCUGGCUUUUUACUUAUUACUUAAUACUUCAACUUACAUGCGACGUACAUAUAUAAAGACCGAAAAAUACUGCUAGAGCUCCUAAACACCAGCGCGCUUACACCAGCUUUUAAUACUCACACUACUCCAUGUUCCCUGCCGAUGAUUUUACACUGCCUGCUGUCUAGAAAAACAACUUGUACUGACCCAUGCUUUGCUACUAUUCGAGAAACAUUUCUUUAAAAACAAAAACAUAAGUUUGGAAUAAUUAAUUCGACAUAAAUGGCAAUGCUAGUGCUUCACAGCAAAGAUUCAGCUUUAUGGUUAUUCUAUGAGACCAUUUGCCAGAUUGGGUCAGUGUUGGCUUUGCAGCUGCAACAGGAGCGUCAAUUUCUUACAAUACAAUCUAUUCAUGGUAUUCAUAUUCAAAUAUAAUGAUUCCAAAUCCAAAAUCUAGACACACUGAUUAUAAAAUAAUUCGAUUUUUUGACCAUAAAGGUACAUCUAAAUGAUAUCGUUUGAUGCCCAAACAAAAUAUCAAACACAAGCUCGGAUUCUGAACGCCUGAAGAACUCGGUCAAUUCCAACUCCAAAUUUUCUAAUUUCUCAAAACGUUUCUUUUAUUCAAACUUAAAUAUCUAAUUAAAUUUUAAUACAAAAAGAUAAAAUAAAUAUACAAUACUAACUCUAAAGUUUAGAUUUUUAACUGGAGAAAAGUGUUCAAAUAUUCUAGGAAGUUACAUGAGUACAUAAAAUAAUAUAAAUUAAUUUAUAAUUAUCUGAAUAAAUUCUUCAAAUUAGACCGUCUCCUAACAUUUUCACUACAAAACCCCCCUACUUGAACCAUGAUGCUCUUUUAACUUAUACUCCCUAGAAAGUAGUUUGAACACGACAAAGAGAAAAUUAAAAAAUUAAAGUAGUUUGAAAAUUCAUUUAAUGGACAAUUCAAUAAGCUAUAUAAAGUUAAAGUAAAUAAUUAUCAGGAAAAAUAAUUUCCUCCACAAAGUUAAAAUUAUUAUUAUAAAAGUAAAGUUUUCCAUUACAUGGGCCUAUUGACGUAUGGAAUGGAAUGGUUAAUAAGUUUGAAAGACUUCGAUAGCUGGAAGAUGAAUUUGCAUCAAUUUCAAAAAAUGAAUUCAAGCAUGGUUUCCAGCCAUCUCCGGGCAGGAAGCACAACUAUCUCCUCUAUUCUCAUUAGAUCUCUGAUAUUUCUAAGUACCAUUCAAUUCGCAGCAACUCUACAUUUUAACUUUACCAACUUCAACCGUACCAAUGAUGAUCAAAUAAAAUACGAGAGAGAUGCCUUUACGGCCAACGAUGUCAUCCACCUCACAAAUGCCGUGGUUGGUCAAUCAGCUCAGUCAAGUAUCGGACGAGUUACUUAUAGACAGCCUUUGCAUCUAUGGGAUAAGGCCUCAAGAAACCUUACUGACUUCACUACCCGUUUCACUUUUGUGAUUGAUUCCAGAAAUGAUACAUCGUAUGGCGAUGGGAUGGCGUUCUUUCUAGUUCCAAAUGGUACCGGGGUCCCGGCACUUGCAACAUCUGGUGGAACAUUUGGACUUACAAAUGAUAGUCAGCCUACCAACACCACUGCCAAUAAAUUUGUUGCUGUUGAAUUUGACGUGUAUGGGAACGACUGGGACCCUGGCGAGUCGCUGGACCCUGAUCUCACCAUUCCUCCCGGUGAGAAACCUGAGCAUGUAGGUGUUGAUAUCAACUCUGUGGAAUCCGAGGAAACUGAGCUUUGGAAAUAUGGGAGUUCUAGUGUUAUAAAUGGGUGGACAAACGAAGCUCAGAUAAGUUAUGCUUCUAGUUCAAAAAAUCUUAGUGUUUCAUUCCGUACACUAAAUUACAAAGAUUCGCCUCAAAGUUUCUACUUUGUGGUUGACCUAAGGGACCAUUUGCCAGAUUGGGUCAGUGUUGGCUUUUCAGCUUCAACAGGAGCCGCAAUUUCUUACAAUACAAUCAAUUCAUGGGAAUUCAGUUCUACUCUGGAGUCCCAUGCAGAGGCUCCGAGUCCAAGUCAUCCGUUACCACCGGUUCCGCCUCCAAGUCAAACCGGUCCAGUACCACAGGUUCCAAAACAUAUUAAAACAAAUAAUAAGAGGAUGGGUCUUGUGAUUGGAUUGGCGGUGGGGGUGUUUCUUCUUGUUUGUUCUGGGGCCAUAUACCGUAUUUUGAAGAAGAAGAAAGAGAAACAGGAAUAUGAAAAUAAUAUUUGUUUUGAGGAUGAUUUCAUGGAUGAUGAAUUUGAGAAAGGAACAGGACCUAAAAAGUUCUCUUAUAGUGCUCUUGCUAUGGCAACAAGUAGCUUUGCACCACAUGGAAAACUUGGAGAAGGUGGAUUUGGGGAAGUUUACAAAGGCUUCUUGAGUGAACUGAAUUUGGAUGUGGCUGUCAAAAGAGUAUCAAGAAAUUCUAGACAAGGAAUAAAGGAGUAUGCAUCCGAAGUGAGGAUCAUUAGUCGUCUCAGACAUAAAAAUUUGGUGCAGCUCAUUGGUUGGUGCCAUGAACGGAAUAAUCUUUUACUUGUGUAUGAGUAUAUGCAAAAUGGUAGCCUGGAUUCCCAUCUUUUCAAGGGGAAGAGCUUGCUGUCUUGGAGUACAAGGUAUAAAAUUGCUCAAGGCCUGGCGUCAGUAUUGCUUUAUCUACAUGAAGAAUGGGAGCAAUGUGUGGUGCAUAGAGACAUUAAAUCAAGCAAUGUCAUGUUAGAUUCGAGUUUUAACACUAAGCUAGGUGAUUUCGGACUGGCCAGAUUUGUUGAUCAUGAAAGGGGUGCACAAACAACUAUGGUGGCCGGGACACGAGGCUACAUGGCCCCUGAAUGUUUUUUCACAGGCCAAGCUAGCAGGAUGUCGGAUGUUUUCAGCUUCGGAGUUGUAGCACUGGAAAUAGCCUGUGGUCGAAAACCUAUUGACAUCAAGCUAGAAGAAAGUCGGAUAGAAUUAGUAAAGUGGGUUUGGGAGCUUCAUGGAAGGGAACAAAUUCUUGAAGCAGCAGACCCAAAACUCUCGGGGGAUUAUGACGAGAGUCAAAUGAAACGGUUGAUGAUGGUCGGGCUCUGGUGUGCACAUCCAGAUUGGCCAAUUAGGCCUUCCAUUAAGGAGGCCAUUCAAAUUCUUAAUUUUGAUGCUCCAUUGCCUGUUCUGCCGCCCCAGAUGCCUGUGGCAACCUAUUCCAUACCAUCAAACUUGUGUUCAGAAAACAGGGCCACAACCCAGAGAAGCCAAACUCAUUCUUCAGGCUCUAGUAACGGAACUGAUUCAUCAGUGUCUGCAACUGCAGCACGUCUAAAUAAUACUAGAUAAGCGAGAUAAGCGUGUCGGUUAAUAUGCAACUCAAUACUUAUAUGUGUGAUUUUGCAAUUUGAUUUCAGUUUGAUUGUAAUUCAUUCAGUGAUUGCUAUUUUUUCAUAAUUUAUUUAACAUUACAACAAAUAAAAACUAUAUCAUUUAAUCAAAUUAUUAUUGAAUUAAAUUAUUGCCUCGCGUAAUUAUAUGUAUAAUUUAAAAUUAAAAAAAUACUACUCCCUCCAUCCCAUUUUAAGUGUCCAUUUUGUCAAAAAAAAAUUUCCCAAAAUAUGUGUCAUACUCUUUAACCCAUGUAAAAUUUAUACCAUUUCCAAUAUAAUAUUAAAUACAACCAACAACUCCUCAUAAAUAUAUUUAGAAGCAUUAUGAAUGUAUAGUGUAAUUUGAAGUGAGAGAAGGUUCAAUACACAAUAAUUAAUGAGAUAUGUAAUUAAUAUGUAUGAAAACUAAGCUGAUUAGUUGUGGAAAGAUAGUUGUGGAAAGAUGGUGAUAAAAAUAUUACAUUAAUUGUUUCUUAAUAUGUGUGAAAAUUGCAAAGUGGACACUUAAAAUGGGAUGGAGGGAGUAAAAUUUUACAUUAUUAUCAUAUUUUUUAGUCAUACCAGAGUAAAUUUCUUAUUGCCCAACAAUAAUUUCUCUAUAAUAACUUUAAUUUUCCUUUAACAGGAUCUAGAAUAAAUAUGUUAUCUUACGAAUUUAGUAUGUCUCUAAAUUUUGUAAUGUGAAUAUGUGAUCUUAAUUUUAUUAUUGAUUAAAUAGUUGAUACAUGUCAUUUUUUCAUGACCAAAAAACUGGCAAGAAACCUCCAGGGUAUUAAUUGGAGCUUUACAUGUGUGUGCUUGUGUAGUUACUUGUUUGUGUUUUAUUACUUCAUCAAAUUUGCAAGCCAGAAUAAUUAGAAAACGUGUAAUCCGCGAACCAGUGCUUGCAUUAUAAUCAUUAUAGUUGUUGUUUUCUCAUUGAAGAAUGUUGUUGCCAAUCUAGACUUGUCAGCUCUGUCUUUUUUCCAAUUCUAUGAACAUAAUCAUCCAAGUCUUUUGACAAAUUAAAGUUGAUCAGAUGGGAGACAUGGGCAACAUCCAGACCUUCUGCACCAACAUAGUAGCCAGCAGGAGGAUAGGCGUAAUCAGUAAUACCAGUUCUGAUUUUUGAAUGAUCUUAAUGCCGUUUUCAGCAAAUUCAAAAACAAAUAAUAAAAAGAUGGGUAUAGUGAUUGGAUUGGCGGUAGGGGUGUUUGUUCUCGUAUAAUGCUCUUGCUAUGGAAAUAAGUAACUUUACACAAUUUGGGGAAGUUUACAAAGGCUUCCUGAGAGAAUUGAACUUGGGUGUGGCUGUCAAGAGAGUGUCAAGAAAUUCCCGAAGUGAGGAUCAUUAGCACUGGAAAUAGCAUGUGGUCGAAAACCUAUUGAGCUCAUGGUAGAAGAGAGUCAGGUAGAAUUAGUAAAGUGGGUUUGGAGCUUUAUGCAUGGAAGGGAACAAAUUGUUGAAGCAGCUGACCCAGAACUCUCCACUAGUGAUGAUUGUUGGGCUUUGGUGUGCACAUCCACAUUGGAUAUUUGGGCAGAUGUCUGUCUGGUUUAACCCGGAUCAAUUACGGCCCUGUUAUAAUAUAAAGGUACAACUCCAAUGAUAUAGUUUUUUUUUUUUUUUUUUAAAGUCUACAUACACGUAUAUGAAUUGUAUCGAAAUACAAUAAACCGCAUCAGGGAUUUCUUUCUUUUAAGAAAGUUUAUCAUCUAACCGAAAGUCAUGCAAGCAUAACUCCGGACGCUUAGACAAUAAAGCUUAAAUGAAUAAGUAAAGAAAACCCAUAAGUCCCGUAGCUUCCAGAGUAUCCUGAAAAAACAAAUCAACCAAAACAUAAAUCAACAUACAAAAAAAUCACACACAUAUAAGUUUAAUUAAAGUAAAAUAAAAAAUCUAAUAAAAAGCAAAACAAAAAUAUAUAUAUAUAUUAAAAAUAGAUAGAAAAUAAAAUAAUAUAGAAAUAUUAAUUAAUUUCUAACCAAAGGAAAAUCCUUUGGUUAGACACAUAAAAAUUAAUUUUUUGGGACAAUAAAAAUUAAAAUUUAAGUGAGGAGUAAAGGAUGAAAUAUAAUUAAAUAUAAUUAAAUAAAAUGAUCAUCAAAAUGGUCAAUAAGCCAUUAAAAGUGGCAUCCAUAAUUGGAACAAAAAGCCAUAAAAGGCACGAUAAAGCCAUUAAAGGCACAAUAAAGUCAUCAUUAAUGACACCCAUAAAUGGUUUUUAAAUUUUGAAUCUUUGAAAAAUAAUAAAAGUAAACAAUUUUCAAAUUUGGAUGGUAAUUGAUUAUAACUUAAGAAAAGUUGACUAAUCUCCAUAAUAUACAGACAACACAUUUAAGGAGCAUUAAAACACAUUUAAGACAUAUAAAUCCAAAACCAAUUUCAAAUUUAAAUUUAUCAAUUUAUCAAUUUAAGAUAAUUCAUUUGUAUAUAAACGGUCAAUUAAUUAUCCAAAUUAAAGCAUAAUUUACUCAAAUUAAAAACAAAAUACAAGUUAAUGCAUGUAGUGGAAAGUCAAAUUCCAAGGAUAAACAAAUUUAAAAAGGAGUCAACUAUCCAUUCAAAAAUAACUGAUUUUAAGAUUUGCAAUUACUACUAUUAAAACCAAAUAAUAUUCAAAAUUACAAAUCUAAAACUAGAAUCAUGGAAUAAAACACGAACUAAUUAAGUCACCAGUGCACCACCGUCACCAUCCAAGAACCGCAAACAAUUAUUAUGAACACUAGCGAAAAAACUAAAAAUCGAACAUGAAGAUACAAAACACCAAAUGUAACUGAUCCUAUAUAUAAUAAAAGAUCGAUAAUAUCUAUCCAAUCUUUUCAAGUUCGGACAAAAAUAGAUAGAAAAAGAUGAAAAUUGGAUACGAAAACAACCCAUACAAUAUUAAAUUUAAGCACACAAUUAUACCUAAUCAUGAAAUAUGAAUCAUCUCACAAUAAUAUAUACAGUAAAACAAAAACCAAUCACAUAAUCAUAAUCAUGUAGGUUUAUGUUUUGAAAAGAUCACACCUGUUUUUUUUAAGUAUUUCCGCAGAUCUCCAAGACAAUUUGCUGAUGAAGGAGGUGUUGACAGCGUAGAUGGCGUUGCCCAAAGAUUAGUCUAGAGUCGGAUAUUCUUUCCUUAGCCAUGGCGCUUAGAUCAAAGAUUAAAAGUUAAAAAAAUACGUUAAAAAGAAAAUAGCAAUGUUGGUGAAACAUGAUCUGAGAAGGGUGGCUAAUGCGGUAGGAGUGGGACAAUGGUGGUGUGUUCAUGUGACACGACUACCAGACCCUAGAACUUGCUGCCUGGCGAUUUUAGUUGAAGGGACGAGAGAGGGAUUAUUAAUUCUACACGCCAGCUAUCAUCUUUUACUAGAGCCAGAGCUUAUUUGUUUGCUGACAGAUGGGUCUUUUGUAAUCCCAGUCCCCGUCCAAGGCUACUCCAAUGAUAUAGUUGAAUGCCCAAACAAAGUAUCAAACACAAGCUUGCAUUCUGAAGGGCCGAAGAACUCGGUCAAUUCCAACUCCAAAAUUUCUAGUUUAUCAAAAUAUCUCUUUUUUCAAAUAUAAAAAUCUAAUUGAAUUUUAAUAUUGAAAGAUAAAAUAAAAUAUACAGUGAUGACUCUAAAGUUUAGAAAACACUUUAGAAAAGUGUGCAAUAUUUUAGGAAGUUACGUGAGUAUAUAAUAUAAUAUAAAUUAAUUUAUAAAUAAAUACUUCAAACUACGGCCACCUGACAUUUUCAUUACAAACCCCACACAUACUUAAAAAUAACAUGUUCUUUGAACUUAUACUCUUAAAUAAAGUACUCCCUCCGUCCCUUUUUAUCUGUCCAUUUUGGAAAAAAAAACACAUACCAAGGAAUAAUUGAUUGUAUAAAUUUUUUCAUUAAAUACCUCUAAUUAAUAUCUUGAAAAUGGUGGAAUACCCCUACUUUAUGUCUUGAAAACAUGAAUUCAACCAAGUUUUAAAUAAGUCAAGCCUUGAAAAUUGAAAUUAUGGAGAUAUAUUUGAAAAACUAUCAUUAAAUUAGUUUUGAAAGUAUAAAUGGACAGAUAAAUAGGGACGGAGGGAGUAGUUUGAACUCGACAAAGAGAAAACUAAAAAAUCAAAUAGUUCGAAAAUUCAUUUAAUGCACAAUUCAAUAAUGUAUACUAUAAAGUUAAAGUAAAUUACACAGAAAAAUAAUUUGCUCCAUACGGUCAACAUUAUUAUUUUAAAAGUAAAAGUUUGCGGCACAUGGGGCCUGUUUACGUAUCGAAUGGUUUAUAAUAAAGAUUGAAGGACUUCGAUACCAGGAAGAUGAAUUUGCAUCCAAAUUUCAUAAUAUGGGUUCAAGCAUGGUUUGCAGCCAUCUCCGGUCAGGAGGCUCUACUAUCUCGUCUAUUUUCAUCAGAUCUCUGAUAUUUCUUAGUACCAUUCAAUUCGCAGCAACUCUACAUUUUAACUUUACCAACUUCAACCGUACCAAUGAUGAUCAAAUAAAAUAUGAGAGAGAUGCCUUUACCACCAACGAUGUCAUCCACCUCACUAAAGCCGUGGUUGGUCAAUCAGCUAAGUCAAGUAUCGGACGAGUUACUUAUGGACAGCCUUUGCAUCUAUGGGAUAAGGCCUCAGGAAACCUUACUGACUUCACUACCCGUUUCACUUUUGUGAUUGAUUCCAGAAAUAAUACAGCGUAUGGCGAUGGGAUGGCGUUCUUUCUAGUUCCAAAUGGUACUGAGGUCCCGUCACUUGCAACAUCUGGUGGAACAUUUGGACUCACAAAUGAUAGUCAGCCUACCAACACCACCGCCAAUAAAUUUGUCGCUGUUGAAUUUGACGUGUAUGGGAACAACUGGGACCCUCCCCCCCAGUCGCAGGACGAUGAAAUCUUCACUAAUCCCAUUGAUUAUUAUGAGCAUGUAGGUGUUGAUGUCAACUCUGUGAAAUCCGAGACAACUGUGUUUUGGGAAAAUGGGAGGUCUAGUGUUAUGAAUGGGUGGACAAAUGAAGCUCAGAUAAGUUAUGCUUCUAGUUCAAAAAAUCUUAGUGUUUCAUUCCGUACAAAUAUAACUGGCAACUCUAGUGCUUCACAUCAAAGUUUCUACUUUGUGGUUGAUCUACGAGACCAUUUGCCAGAUUGGGUCAGUGUUGGCUUUUCAGCUUCAACAGGAGCCGCAAUUUCUUACAAUACAAUCAAUUCAUGGGAAUUCAGUUCUACUCUGGAGUCCCAUGCAGAGGCUCCGAGUCCAAGUGAUCCGAUAGCAGAGGUUCCAACUUUAAGUCAAACUGGUCCAGUACCACAGGUUCCAAAACAUAUUAAAACUAAUAAUAAAAAGAUGGGUACAGUGAUUGGAUUGGCGGUAGGGGUGUUUGUUCUUGUUUGUGCUGUGGGCACAUACAUUAUAUUGAAGAAGAAGAAAGAGAGAGAAGAAAAUGAAAAUACCAUUUGUUUUGAGGAUGAUUUCAUGGAUGAUGAAUUUGAGAAAGGAACUGGACCUAAAAAGUUCUCGUAUAAUGCUCUUGCUAUGGCAACAAGCAACUUUGCACCACAUGGAAAACUUGGAGAAGGAGGAUUUGGGGAAGUUUACAAAGGCUUCUUGAGUGAACUGAAUUUGGAUGUGGCUGUCAAGAGAGUCUCAAGAAAUUCUAGACAAGGAAUAAAGGAGUAUGCAUCUGAAGUGAGGAUCAUUAGUCGUCUGAGACAUAGAAAUUUGGUGCAGCUCAUUGGUUGGUGCCAUGAACGGAAUAAUCUUUUACUUGUCUAUGAGUAUAUGCAAAAUGGUAGCCUGGAUUCCCAUCUUUUCAAGGGGAAGAGCUUGCUGUCUUGGAGUACAAGGUAUAAAAUUGCUCAAGGCCUGGCGUCAGUAUUGCUUUAUCUACAUGAAGAAUGGGAGCGAUAUGUGGUGCAUAGAGAUAUUAAAUCAAGCAAUGUAAUGUUAGAUUCGAGUUUUAAUACUAAGCUAGGUGAUUUCGGAUUGGCCAGAUUUGUUGAUCAUGACAAGGGCGCACAAACAACUAUUGUGGCUGGGACACGAGGCUAUAUGGCCCCCGAAUGUUUCGUCACAGGACAAGCUAGCAGGGAGUCAGACGUUUUCAGCUUCGGAGUUGUAGCAUUGGAAAUAGCAUGUGGUCGAAAACCUAUUGACCUCAUGGUGGUAGAAAAUGAGAGAGAAUUGGUAAAGUGGGUUUGGGACCUCUAUGGAAUGGAACAAAUUCUUGAAGCAGCUGACCCAAGACUCUCAGGGGCUUACGACGAGCAUCAAAUGCAACGGUUGAUGAUUGUCGGGCUUUGGUGUGCACAUCCAGAUAGUACCACUAGGCCUUCCAUCAGGCAAGCAAUUCAUGUUCUUAAUUUUGAUGCUCCAUUGCCUUCACUCCCACGCAGGAUGCCUGUGGCAACCUAUUCCACGCCUUUAAACUUUUCUUCGGUGUCUUCAGAAAGCAAGGCCACUACCCAGACAAGCCAAACUCAUUCUUCAGCCUAUAGUAACGGUACUGAUUCUUCAGUGUCUGCAUCUGCAGCACUUCUAAACAAUACUAUAUAAGUGUGAUAAUUAACAUGUAAAAUAAAAAAAAAAUAUUUCCAAUUUAUAUAUGAGUAAAUAAGAGUGAUUAUGUUUACAGCAUUCACUUCUGAUUUGAUUCAUUCUGUAAUUGCUUGACAUAUUCGAAUUUUCAAUCUUCUUCACUAAUUGUCUUUCAUAGUUAUCACAUCAGUUAACAUUUCUAAUUUGGGCACUUGGCUUCAAUUAGUAGUGGUCCUGCUCAGUGCUUCUAAAUUCAAAUGCUGAUUAAUUCUCUGAAAGUAGUUCAACUAGAGGUUUAUAGUAAACUCUGUGGAUUACUUUAAUCUGUACCAUACUAAUAUUCCUUCCGCCGGCAAGAUAUUGGGAUAAAUUUUAUUGCACAAGUCACUGUCUACAGUCUUUAAGCAUUACCUGUCUGCAAUGAUCAAGACAAGUCUAUAUCGUCAACUAUCUUUUUUCAAUAAAUUUCAAAGUAUGUCCGAUAUGAGCUGAAUGAUUCAACUAAGAUUUUGUUUGAAACAUAACCCCAAGACCAAUUUGAAAGAUAUGAAACUGACUUGCAACAGCAGAGCCUGAAGCACCAAGGAAGAACUGAAGUAUAGCUUGUUACUAACAUCCAUAAGGCCAACUGCUGAUGCUCAAGGGUGAGUGUGAGGGUGGUUUGUGCCAGCAGAAAGCCAGCAUUUGGAACACUGACCAGUGAUUAAAAUAUUUCCGACUCCAAAUUUUCUGGUAAUUAUCAAAUUGUUUCUUUUGUUCAAGUUCAAAAAUCUAAUUAAAUUUAAAUACAAAAAGAGAAUAUAAAUAUACAGUAAUAAUUCUAAAGUUUAGAUUUUUAACUUGAGGAAAGUGUCCAAAUAUUUUAGGAAGCUACUGAGUACAUAAUAUAAUAUAAAUUAAUAUAUAAAAAUAAAUUCUUCAAAUUACGGUCUCCUAACAUUUUGAUUACAAAAAAACCUCCACAUACUUAGAAGCAUCAUGCCCUUUUAACUUAUACUCCUUAGAAAGUAGUUUGAACACGACAAAGAGAAAAUUAAAAAAUAAAAGUAGUUUGAAAAUUCACUUAAUGCACAAUUCAAUAAGCUAUAUAAAGUUAAAAGUAAAUUACCAAGAAAAAUAAUUUCCUCCUUAAAAUUAUUAUUAUAAAAGUUAAGGUUUCUAGUACAUGGGCCUAUUUGACGUAUUGAAUGGUUAAUAAAGUUUGAAAGACUUGGAUAACUGGAAGAUAAAUUUGCAUCCAAAUUUCACAAGAUGAAUUCAAGCAUGGUUUGCAGCCAUCUCAUGCCAGGAAGCUCUGCUAUCUCCUCUAUUGUCAUUAGAUCUCUGAUAUUUCUAAGUACGAUUCAGAUGGCAGCAACCUUACAUUUUAAGUUUACCAACUUCAACCAUACCAAUGAUGAUCAAAUAAAAUACGAGAGAGAUGCCUUUCCGGCCAACAAUGUCAUCCACCUCACUAAUGCGGUGAUUGGUCAAUCAGCUGAGUCAAGUAUCGGCCGAGUUACUUAUAGACAGCCUUUGCAUCUAUGGGACAAGGCCUCAAGAAACCUUACUGGCUUCACUACCCGUUUCACUUUUGUGAUUGAUUCCAGAAAUGAUACAGCGUAUGGCGAUGGGAUGGCGUUCUUUCUAGUUCCAAAUGGUACCGAGGUCCCGGCACUUGCAACAUCUGGGGGAACAUUUGGACUCACAAAUGAUAGUCAGCCUACCAACACCACCGCCAAUAAAUUUGUCGCUGUUGAAUUUGACGUGUUUGAGAACUCUUGGGACCCUGACAUUGACGAGCCGGAGGACCCUCUUUUUGGCCGUUCUCCUGAUGUGAAAAUUGAGCAUGUAGGUGUUGAUAUCAACUCUGUGAGAUCCAACAAAACUGUGCUUUGGGAUUAUGGGAGGUCUAGUGUUGAGAAUGGAUGGACCAAUGAAGCUCAGAUAAGUUAUGCUUCUAGUUCAAAAAAUCUUAGUGUUUCAUUCCGUACAAAUAUAACUGGCAAUUUCUACUUUGUGGUUGAUCUACGAGACCAUUUGCCAGAUUGGGUCAGUGUUGGCUUUUCAGCUUCAACAGGAGCCGCAAUUUCUUACAAUACAAUCAAUUCAUGGGAAUUCAGUUCUACUCUGGAGUCCCAUGCAGAGGCUCCGAGUCCAAGUGAUCCGAUAGCAGAGGUUCCAACUUUAAGUCAAACUGGUCCAGUACCACAGGUUCCAAAACAUAUUAAAACUAAUAAUAAAAAGAUGGGUACAGUGAUUGGAUUGGCGGUAGGGGUGUUUGUUCUUGUUUGUGCUGUGGGCACAUACAUUAUAUUGAAGAAGAAGAAAGAGAGAGAAGAAAAUGAAAAUACCAUUUGUUUUGAGGAUGAUUUCAUGGAUGAUGAAUUUGAGAAAGGAACUGGACCUAAAAAAUUCUCGUUUAAUGCUCUUGCUAUGGCAACAAGCAAAUUUGCACCACAUGGAAAACUUGGAGAAGGAGGAUUUGGGGAAGUUUACAAAGGCUUCUUGAGUGAACUGAAUUUGGAUGUGGCUGUCAAGAGAGUCUCAAGAAAUUCUAGACAAGGAAUAAAGGAGUAUGCAUCUGAAGUGAGGAUCAUUAGUCGUCUGAGACAUAGAAAUUUGGUGCAGCUCAUUGGUUGGUGCCAUGAACGGAAUAAUCUUUUACGUGUCUAUGAGUAUAUGCAAAAUGGUAGCCUGGAUUCCCAUCUUUUCAAGGGGAAGAGCUUGCUGUCUUGGACCGCAAGGUAUAAAAUUGCUCAAGGCCUGGCGUCAGUAUUGCUUUAUCUACACGAAGAAUGGGAACAAUGUGUGGUGCAUAGAGACAUUAAAUCAAGCAAUGUCAUGUUAGAUUCAAGUUUUAACACUAAGCUAGGUGAUUUCGGACUGGCCAGAUUUGUUGAUCAUGAUAGGGGUGCACAAACAACUAUGGUGGCGGGGACACGAGGCUACAUGGCCCCUGAAUGUUUUUUCACAGGCCAAGCUAGCAGGAUGUCGGAUGUUUUUAGCUUCGGAGUUGUUGCCCUGGAAAUAGCAUGUGGGCGAAAACCUAUUGACAUCAAGCUAGAAGAAAGUCGGGUAGAAUUAGUAAAGUGGGUUUGGGACCUUCAUGGGAAGGAACAAAUUCUUGAAGCAGCAGACCCAAAACUCUCCGGGGAUUACGACGAGAGUCAAAUGAAACGGUUGAUGAUGGUCGGGCUCUGGUGUGCCCAUCCAGACUGGCCAAUUAGGCCUUUCAUUAAGGAGGCCAUUCAAGUUCUUAAUUUUGAUGCUCCAUUGCCUGUUCUCCCGCCGCAGAUGCCAGUGGCAACCUAUUCCAUACCAUCAAACUUGUGUUUAGAAAACAGGGCCACAACCCAGAGAAGCCAAACUCAUUCUUCAGGCUGUAGUAACGGAACUGAUUCAUCAGUGUCUGCAACGGCAGCACGUCUAAGUAAUACUAGAUAAGC